rnacentral:rRNA from 1 species
GACGAACGCUGGCGGCGUGCUUAACACAUGCAAGUCGAACGGAAAGGCCCUGCUUUUGUGGGGUGCUCGAGUGGCGAACGGGUGAGUAACACGUGAGUAACCUGCCCUUGACUUUGGGAUAACUUCAGGAAACUGGGGCUAAUACCGGGUAGGAGCUCCUGCUGCAUGGUGGGGGUUGGAAAGUUUCGGCGGUUGGGGAUGGACUCGCGGCUUAUCAGCUUGUUGGUGGGGUAGUGGCUUACCAAGGCUUUGACGGGUAGCCGGCCUGAGAGGGUGACCGGCCACAUUGGGACUGAGAUACGGCCCAGACUCCUACGGGAGGCAGCAGUGGGGAAUAUUGCACAAUGGGCGGAAGCCUGAUGCAGCAACGCCGCGUGCGGGAUGACGGCCUUCGGGUUGUAAACCGCUUUCGCCUGUGACGAGGCGUGAGUGACGGUAAUGGGUAAAGAAGCACCGGCUAACUACGUG